rnacentral:rRNA from 1 species
UACGUAGGGUGCAAGCGUUGUCCGGAAUUAUUGGGCGUAAAGAGCUCGUAGGCGGUUCGUCGCGUCGGCUGUGAAAUCCCGAGGCUCAACCUCGGGUCUGCAGUCGAUACGGGCGGACUGGAGUUCGGCAGGGGAGACUGGAAUUCCUGGUGUAGCGGUGAAAUGCGCAGAUAUCAGGAGGAACACCGGUGGCGAAGGCGGGGUCUCUGGGCCGAUACUGACGCUGAGGAGCGAAAGCGUGGGGAGCGAACAGG